UACGGAGGGGGCUAGCGUUGUUCGGAAUUACUGGGCGUAAAGCGCGCGUAGGCGGCUUUGUAAGUUAGAGGUGAAAGCCCGGGGCUCAACUCCGGAAUUGCCUUUAAGACUGCAUCGCUAGAAUCGUGGAGAGGUAAGUGGAAUUCCGAGUGUAGAGGUGAAAUUCGUAGAUAUUCGGAAGAACACCAGUGGCGAAGGCGACUUACUGGACACGUAUUGACGCUGAGGUGCGAAAGCCAGGGGAGCAAACGGG
rnacentral:rRNA from 1 species